rnacentral:rRNA from 1 species
CCUACGGGCGGCAGCAGUGGGGAAUAUUGCACAAUGGGCGCAAGCCUGAUGCAGCCAUGCCGCGUGUAUGAAGAAGGCCUUCGGGUUGUAAAGUACUUUCAGCGGGGAGGAAGGGAGUAAAGUUAAUACCUUUACUCAUUGACGUUACCCGCAGAAGAAGCACCGGCUAACUCCGUGCCAGCAGCCGCGGUAAUACGGAGGGUGCAAGCGGUAAUCGGAAUUACUGGUCGUAAAGCGCACGCAGGCGUUUUGUUAAGCAAGAGUUGAAAUCCCCGGCCUCAACCUGGGAACUGCAUCUGAUACUGGCAAGCUUGAGGCUAGUAGAGGGGGGUAGAAUUCCAGGUGUAGCGGUGAAAUGCGUAGAGAUCUGGAGGAAUAGCGGUGGCGAAGGCGGCCCCCUGGACGAAGACUGACGCUCAGGUGCGAAAGCGUGGGGAGCAAACAGGAUUAGAUACCCUUGUAGUC